GGGCCAGUAGCUCAGUGGUAGAGCAAUCGGCUCAUAACCGAUUGGUCGCAGGUUCGAUCCCUGCCUGGCCCACCA
rnacentral:tRNA from 2 species